UAAGGUCACGGCGAGACGAGCCGUUUAUCAUUAUGAUAGGUGUCAGGUGGAAAUGCAGUGAUGCAUGUAGCUGAGGCAUCCUAACAGACCGGUGGACUUGAAC
rnacentral:rRNA from 1 species